AAGUGAUGUACCCACCUCAGUCUCCUAAAAGGCUGGGAUUACAGUGUGGAAUAAAGAUCCCUUCAGAUGCCUUAUCCUUUUUUAGCAUAAGCCUCAGCACCAAGGAUAUAUCAACAAAGAUCCCAUCAAAGUAAAAAUCUGUGCAUUUUGAUACAGGGAGUGACUGGUAUUGAAAGCAUGCUUCCUCCUUGGACCAAGAAGAAAUAAACAUUCUUUUCUCUUUUGAAGCAUUUACAAAACAUGAAAAAGCGCAACAGACCCAAUGAACGAGUUGUACUCCUUUUCGCAAGGCUGUAUUCCUUCUGCUGACUCAUGGGGCGCCAGUUUUUUUUUUUUUUUU